GUGCCUAACACAUGCAAGUCGAACGAGAAAGUCCCCGCAAGGGGAUGAGUACAGUGGCGAACGGGUGAGUAACACGUGACUAACCUGCCUUUUAGUGGGGGAUAACCCCGGGAAACCGGGGCUAAUACCGCAUAACAUCUUUGGGAUGCAAUGCCUGAAGAUCAAACGGGUAACUGGCUGAAAGAGGGGGUCGCGGCUGAUUAGUUAGUUGGCGGGGUAACGGCCCACCAAGACAAUGAUCAGUAGCCGGCCUGAGAGGGCGCACGGCCACACUGGAACUGAAACACGGUCCAG
rnacentral:rRNA from 1 species